UUGAAAAAACGAUAGACUCUACUCGAAACCAAAGUACGUAACUACGUACGUUUAAAAAAAGAAUCUCGUAAACAAAAGAAUAUUUAUGUUGCUUUGUUUCAGCUACUGAUUACUCUAAUAAUAUACUUUACUACCAACUCAAGAAGAUGUACAUAGGAAUAAAAAUCCACUUUAUUAGCAUCUUCUAAGUGUUUUCAUUUCGGGUGCUGCCGAUUACAAACCAUGAUAUAGAAAGCAAUUUUUCUCAAGAAAUUUGGAAGGUUUGCUCAAAACAACACCACCAGAAUCACGAAUUCAGUUCCGAAUUAGCGAUCAUCCUCAGCUACAGCUAAGUCAUCGACUUUGUGAAAUUCAAUUCAAUGGUGCAAGGGAAAGCUUUGACAUUCAAUAGUCGACCACCCAGUGUUGCAUGAAAAUCAGCUGCCAAGAAGUAUGGUACAAGCCGAUAAAAAAAACGACUCUUGCAGCUGCAACUAAAGCAACAUCUUCUGGUUUCAUGGAGUGCAACAGCACAUGAGGUUCAGUUGUAUAUAGACCGAUGCUUGUAACGCCAAAUAUCUCGCUAAAGAACGGCAAGGACACUGCUGACCGAGUCAUCGGCUACUGCGGCCACUUUAGGCCGAAGCAGACCACGUAGAUAAUGAAAUGAAAGUCGACAUUGAGUCAACCUGCUGGGAGGACACCUCCUAAAUGACGGGAAUCAAAACCAUUGACAGAAAAAAUAGAAGCCGAAUUCCUAAAUACGCAAUGCUUAUUGAAUCAAGAACUAACUGGAAUCACUUAGAAGACCAUCGAACACAUGAACUGCCACAAUUUUUUAAUCAACGGAUCGAAUUACCAGCAGGAGUUUUAUAAUUAUAAACCAAUGAACUUGCUACAAUUUAAUUGUGCGUCCAUUGACCAGAAGGGUUAUGAUGGCAAGACUACUUCAAACAACAAAUCGAAGCGGUAUUGCAACAAAUCCUGAAAGAAGAUGAUUAUAGUCGACAACAUGCUUUAAAUCUCAUACCUUAAUAAUCAAGGUUCGCGG